rnacentral:rRNA from 1 species
AGCGGAAACGAGUUAUCUGAACCUUCGGGGGACGAUAACGGCGUCGAGCGGCGGACGGGUGAGUAAUGCCUAGGAAAUUGCCCUGAUGUGGGGGAUAACCAUUGGAAACGAUGGCUAAUACCGCAUAAUGCCUACGGGCCAAAGAGGGGGACCUUCGGGCCUCUCGCGUCAGGAUAUGCCUAGGUGGGAUUAGCUAGUUGGUGAGGUAAUGGCUCACCAAGGCGACGAUCCCUAGCUGGUCUGAGAGGAUGAUCAGCCACACUGGAACUGAGACACGGUCCAGACUCCUACGGGAGGCAGCAGUGGGGAAUAUUGCACAAUGGGCGCAAGCCUGAUGCAGCCAUGCCGCGUGUGUGAAGAAGCCUUCGGGUUGUAAAGCACUUUCAGUCGUGAGGAAGGUAGUGUAGUUAAUAGCUGCAUUAUUUGACGU